GACGAACGCUGGCGGCGUGCUUAACACAUGCAAGUCGAACGCUGAAGCUCAGCUUUUGUUGGGUGGAUGAGUGGCGAACGGGUGAGUAACACGUGAGUAACCUGCCUCCUUCUUUGGGAUAACGCCCGGAAACGGGUGCUAAUACUGGAUAUUCACUGGUCUUCGCAUGGGGGUUGGUGGAAAGGGUUUUUCUGGUGGGGGAUGGGCUCGCGGCCUAUCAGCUUGUUGGUGGGGUGAUGGCCUACCAAGGCUUUGACGGGUAGCCGGCCUGAGAGGGUGACCGGUCACAGUGGGACUGAGAUACGGCCCAGACUCCUACGGGAGGCAGCAGUGGGGAAUAAUGCACAAUGGGCGCAAGCCUGAUGCAGCGACGCCGCGUGAGGGAUGGAGGCCUUCGGGUUGUGAACCUCUUUCGCUCAUGGUCAAGCCGCAACAAUGGUUGUGGUGAGGGUAGUGGGUAAAGAAGCGCCGGCUAACUACGUG
rnacentral:rRNA from 1 species